GAUGAACGCUGGCGGCGUGCUUAACACAUGCAAGUCGAACGAUGAAGCCAGCUUGCUGGUGGAUUAGUGGCGAACGGGUGAGUAACACGUGAGUAACCUGCCCUUAACUCUGGGAUAAGCCUGGGAAACUGGGUCUAAUACCGGAUAUGACUUCCCAUCGCAUGGUGGGGGGUGGAAAGCUUUUGUGGUUUUGGAUGGACUCGUGGCCUAUCAGCUUGUUGGUGAGGUAAUGGCUCACCAAGGCGACGACGGGUAGCCGGCCUGAGAGGGUGACCGGCCACACUGGUACUGAGACACGGCCCAGACUCCUACGGGAGGCAGCAGUGGGGAAUAUUGCACAAUGGGCGGAAGCCUGAUGCAGCGACGCCGCGUGAGGGAUGACGGCCUUCGGGUUGUAAACCUCUUUCAGUAGGGAAGAAGCGUAAGUGACGGUACCUGCAGAAGAAGCGCCGGCCAACUACGUGCCAGCAGCCGCAGUAA
rnacentral:rRNA from 1 species